GAUGAACGCUAGCGGCAGGCUUAAUACAUGCAAGUCGAGGGGCAGCAUGGUGUAGCAAUACACUGAUGGCGACCGGCAAACGGGUGCGGAACACGUACAGAACCUUCCUUCGAGCGGGGAAUAGCCCAGAGAAAUUUGGAUUAAUACCCCAUAGUAUUAUGGAGCGGCAUCACUUUGUAAUUAAAGAUUUAUCACUUGAAGAUGGCUGUGCGGCUGAUUAGGUAGUUGGCGGGGUAACGGGCCCACCAAGCCUGCGAUCAGUAACUGGUGUGAGAGCACGACCAGUCACACGGGCACUGAGACACGGGCCCGACUCCUACGGGAGCAGCAGUAAGGAAUA
rnacentral:rRNA from 1 species